rnacentral:rRNA from 1 species
GACGAACGCUGGCGGCGUGCCUAAUACAUGCAAGUUGAGCGCUGAAGGUUGGUACUUGUACCGACUGGAUGAGCAGCGAACGGGUGAGUAACGCGUGGGGAAUCUGCCUUUGAGCGGGGGACAACAUUUGGAAACGAAUGCUAAUACCGCAUAAAAACUUUAAACACAAGUUUUAAGUUUGAAAGAUGCAAUUGCAUCACUCAAAGAUGAUCCCGCGUUGUAUUAGCUAGUUGGUGAGGUAAAGGCUCACCAAGGCGAUGAUACAUAGCCGACCUGAGAGGGUGAUCGGCCACAUUGGGACUGAGACACGGCCCAGACUCCUACGGGAGGCAGCAGUAGGGAAUCUUCGGCAAUGGACGAAAGUCUGACCGAGCAACGCCGCGUGAGUGAAGAAGGUUUUCGGAUCGUAAAACUCUGUUGGUAGAGAAGAACGUUGGUGAGAGUGGAAAGCUCAUCAAGUGACGGUAACUACCCAGAAAGGGACGGCUAACUACGU